rnacentral:rRNA from 1 species
GCCGGCCAGCACGGUGAUAGCCGUGGCGCCCAUCGCCACCCAAUAGGGCGGGGUGAGAUCCGCGGGCCGCAGCGGGUAGAGCAGCAGGCGGGCGACGACCAGGCUGCCGACAGCGACGUACAGAAACACGCCUACUGACCAACUAAUCGCGUGCCGAGCACGUCGGACGCAGCGACAAAGGUGAACAUCCCAAAUCCCCGGCGCGGAUCAGCUAGGUCGUCGGCGAAUUCUUUGCGGAAGAUGACGAUUCGUGUCGUGCUCACCGCGAUCAAGACAGCAUAGGCGGUGCAGGUCACCCACAGCAGGACGACGGAAAGGGCAUACGUCCACCCGCACAGGCGGGUGACGACAGGGCCGAAAGUCGUGUCUCGCAUCGAAAUCGACGCCAGCGCGGACUUGUUCGACGAGUAGACGUGUCGCUAACGUCGAUCUCGAUGGGCAGUCCUGUCCGCUCGCCGAAGACGCACUCCCGUCACCACCCGCGCCGCCGCGGCCGCGUUAGCACCAGCUCCUCGCGGCUGCGGUAGAUGAUGUACGGGCGGAACAGAUAGCCGAUCGGGGCGCUGAACGCGUGUACCAGCCGGGUGAACGGCCACAACGCGAACAACGCCAACCCGAUCAGCACAUGGAUCUGGUAAUACAGCGGAGCCUCGGCCAUCAGGUCCCCGCGCGGUUGCAGUACCCACACCGAGCGGAACCACACCGACACCGUCUCGCGGUAGUUGUACGCCUCGCCGACAACGCCGGAGCCCAACGCCGUCGCACCCAGUCCCGCGACGAUCGCCGCCACCAGCACGAGGUACAUCACCUUGUCGUUGACGGUGGUAGCCAUGAACACCGGCCCGCGGGUGCGCCGCCGGUAGAUCAGCAGGGUAACGCCGGCCAAGGUGGUGAUGCCGGCGAUCGACCCCAGCACGACGGCCUGCACGUGAUAUGCGCCCUCGCUCAAACCGGCGGCCUGAGUCCACGACUGCGGGAUCACGAGCCCGAUACCGUGGCCGACGAUGACCACCAGGAUGCCGAAAUGAAACAUCGGGCUGGCGAUCCGCAGCAGCCGCGACUCGUACAGCUGGGACGAGCGGGUGGUCCAGCCGAAUUUGUCAUAGCGGUAGCGCCACCAGGAGCCGACCGCGACGAUCGUCAUCGUCACAUACGGCACGACGGUCCAGAAGAGUUCGCCCAUCAUGUCACCCGUCCGGCAUACCGCGGCCACCGUGUGUGCGUAUGGCAAUGCGGCCUCGGUCAGGGCAUUGCACAGCGCGGCGAUGGGCACCCGGUACCCGCUCAGCAACCGUCGCCCCGCCUCGGGGUCGACGGUCGCGGCGAAUUCGAGCACCACCGGCAGGAAGUCCGGGGUCUCGCCGCGCGGUGGUGCGACGUCGGUGCUGCGGUAGGUCUGGGCGAAGGCCAGCAUCUCCCGGCCGCGGUUGCGGGUGUCGCCGGCGGUCCAGUAGGUCAGGUACAGGGUGGCGCGGCCUCGCAGGUCGAAGGUGUCGACGUAGCGGGUCGCCGCGGUCAGCGGAUCGGCACGGCGCAGCUCAGAGACCGUGCGCCCCAACAGAUCCGCGGCCGGACCGUCGAUGUGGGCCAGCAAUUCCUCUGCGGUGCCGAGUUGCCGUGAGUUCGGGUAGGUCAGCAGCACCGAGGCGCAUUGCCACACCACGUCCCACCAAUCUCCGGACUCCGGCACGUCGGUCUGGUCGCCGAACACCUGCGGGGAGGCCACCGGCAGGUCGGCGUACCAGUCGUAGAACGACGUCAUCACCCCGCCGAUUAGCUCCACGAACCGCGACCCCGCGGCGUGGCUCACCAUGGACAUCGCCGGGAUGGGGGAGAAGCCGGCAACCCGGUUAAGAGGACCCGUUAACCCGCAAGGGUGAAGCGGAGAAUUUAAGCCCCAGUAAACGGCGGUGGUAACUAUAACCAUCCUAAGGUAGCGAAAUUCCUUGUCGGGUAAGUUCCGACCUGCACGAAUGGCGUAACGACUUCUCAACUGUCUCAACCAUAGACUCGGCGAAAUUGCACUACGAGUAAAGAUGCUCGUUACGCGCGGCAGGACGAAAAGACCCCGGGACCUUCACUACAACUUGGUAUUGAUGUUCGGUACGGUUUGUGUAGGAUAGGUGGGAGACUGUGAAACCUCGACGCCAGUUGGGGCGGAGUCGUUGUUGAAAUACCACUCUGAUCGUAUUGGGCAUCUAACCUCGAACCCUGAAUCGGGUUUAGGGACAGUGCCUGGCGGGUAGUUUAACUGGGGCGGUUGCCUCCUAAAAUGUAACGGAGGCGCCCAAAGGUUCCCUCAACCUGGACGGCAAUCAGGUGGCGAGUGUAAAUGCACAAGGGAGCUUGACUGCGAGACUUACAAGUCAAGCAGGGACGAAAGUCGGGAUUAGUGAUCCGGCACCCCCGAGUGGAAGGGGUGUCGCUCAACGGAUAAAAGGUACCCCGGGGAUAACAGGCUGAUCUUCCCCAAGAGUCCAUAUCGACGGGAUGGUUUGGCACCUCGAUGUCGGCUCGUCGCAUCCUGGGGCUGGAGCAGGUCCCAAGGGUUGGGCUGUUCGCCCAUUAAAGCGGCACGCGAGCUGGGUUUAGAACGUCGUGAGACAGUUCGGUCUCUAUCCGCCGCGCGCGUCAGAAACUUGAGGAAACCUGUCCCUAGUACGAGAGGACCGGGACGGACGAACCUCUGGUGCACCAGUUGUCCCGCCAGGGGCACCGCUGGAUAGCCACGUUCGGUCAGGAUAACCGCUGAAAGCAUCUAAGCGGGAAACCUUCUCCAAGAUCAGGUUUCUCACCCACUUGGUGGGAUAAGGCCCCCCGCAGAACACGGGUUCAAUAGGUCAGACCUGGAAGCUCAGUAAUGGGUGUAGGGAACUGGUGCUAACCGGCCGAAAACUUACAACA